rnacentral:rRNA from 1 species
AUAUUGGACAAUGGGGGCAACCCUGAUCCAGCCAUGCCGCGUGUGUGAAGAAGGUCUUCGGAUUGUAAAGCACUUUAAGUUGGGAGGAAGGGCUUUAGGUUAAUACCCUGAAGUUUUGACGUUACCAACCGAAUAAGCACCGGCUAACUCUGUCCCAGCCGCCGCGGUAAUACAGAGGGUACAAGCUUUAAUCGGAAUUACUGGGCGUAAAGCGCAGGUAGGUGGUGCAGUAAGAUGGGUGUGAAAUCCCCGGGCUUAACCUGGGAACUGCUUUCAUAACUGCUGAGCUAGAGUACGGUAGAGGGUAGUGGAAUUUCCUGUGUAGCGGUGAAAUGCGUAGAUAUAGGAAGGAAAACCAGUGGCGAAGGCGACUACCUGGACUGAUACUGACACUGAGGUGCGAAAGCGUGGGGAGCAAAC